GACUGAAAGCUUUUCCUCCUUCUAAUUUUAAACACCAUCAGUGCAUACAGGGGAGUCUGUGGUUAGAAGGUGCAGCCUCUCUGCUGCUGCUGCUGCCGUGUGGUCGAAGUGAAAACAGAGAAGACGGGUACUUACUCGACUUUUCUUCCUUAAUGGUGUAUUCGAGCACCUCGGCCGAGCUUUCGUUCAGAGAAGGAAAGUGGACACAGAGCACCAGCUGCUUCGAGCUGCUGUCCCGGCGGACCAGGAACAUCUGAAACCAAAGAAGGGGAUGCAGCUCCGUGAAUUAAAGAUUUGGGUGAAGAUGAAGGAACUGAGGUACUCUCUGAUUACAACAGGACGUCCCCUCCUCAAGCUGGUGUGAUGACUGACUGAGUUAAUACCUGUUAGGGCUUGGCCCACAGGACACGCUCUGGAAGGUGAUCCUGGCCAAGGUCUCACAGCUAUAAGGGAAGAACUGGAUUCAGCCCCCCGACACUGGUGUCAACGCUUGGGACCUCCAUGCCAUGAGGCCUCUGCAUGCAGACCCCAAGUCCUGAGCAGGAAGACUUGCUUCUGCUGUGGGUUUACUCUCUUCUGAUAAAACCAUGGCUCUAGGCUGUGAGGACGCAGCUGUGCUCUAGAAACCAAACACCAACCGAGGUCUCACCCAGAGCCAGCAUGUUGACGGACACUCGCUUCUCCUUCUCACGCUCUGAGCAAUGGUUCUGCUCCAGUGAGGGUCCCGAGGGCAAGCAUGGGGAGCAGGAUUCUGCUGCCUUUCACAAACUCUGCUGUUUUAAAAUGUCCUUUGAGUCUUGGCAGGUCUCAGCAAGCUCAUCCCUCCUUGGCAGGUGACACCUUCUGGAAUCUCCCCAGCCUCCUGUGGCACAGCUUCCUCAGGAAGGGGGAAGGGGCAUCCCUCGAUAGGGGAAGGACUUGGUCCAUGUCUUCCCCUCCCUGCUCCUGUCUUGACCCCACCCCUGGAGCUUAAGCCUCUCCCACUCCAGCCCCAAGCUUCUGGGUUAGAGUUUGGAAAACUAGGUGUCUGGCCAAGGUUGCUGAAGAAAGGCUGUGGAGCAGGGACACUGGGAUAUCUGAGUGUCUGUUUGAACCAGAGUGACCCCCAUCUUGAAUAGGGGUUGGGUAAAAUAAGGCUGAGACCUGCUGGACUGCAUUCCCAGGAGGUUAGGGCAUUCUAAGUCACAGGAUAAGAUAGGAGGUGGGCACAAGAUACAGGUCACAAAGACCCUGCUGACAAAACAGGACGUGGUAAAGAAGCUGGCCCAAACGCACCAAAACCAAGAUGGCAAUCAAAGUGACCUCUGGUCGUCCUCACUGCUCAUUAUGUGCUAAUUAUAAUGCAUCUGCAUGCUAAAAGACACUCCCACCAGCGCCAUGACAGUUUACAGAUGUCAUGGCAACGUCAGGAAAUUAGCCUAUAUCUAAAAAGGGGAGGGACCCUUAGUUCUGGGAAUUGCCCGCCCCUUUCCUGGAACACUCAUGAAUAAUCCACCCCUUGUUCAGCAAAUAAUCAAGAAAUAACCAUAAGGAUAAUCAGUCGAGCAUGAGUAUGAGACAGUGUACCAGGAUAGAGCAGCCAUUCUUUUGCUACUUUACUUCUCUAAUAAACUUGCUUUCACUUUAUUCUUUGGACUCACCCCAAAUUCCUUCUUGUGUCAGAUCCAAGAACCUUCUCUUGGGGUCUGGAUCGGGAGCCCUUUCUGGUAACACGAGGAUACGGCCCCAAGCACAGGAGGCUCCUGAGGAGCCCUCUGUCCUGACCUUGCUCUGGUGAUAUCCCAAAUUCUGCUGCCAUUGUAUUGAUUACUAAUAUUACUAUAUUGCUGUAUCAUCAUAAUCAUUGUUAUUCUAUAGUUGUUAUAUAUAAUUGUUAAUAAAUUACUAUAACCA